rnacentral:lncRNA from 1 species
GGAUUCACACCAGGACUCUGACAGAAUUUCAGAACUAGCUUCAAACAAUUCGAACGAGUUGCCCCCACUACCAGAGGGUUCUCCACCAUUGCCUAUUGAUUCUCCUCCUCCACCCCCACCUUUGCCUCCUUCACCGCCCCCACCACCACCUCCUCCAUUAUCUCCAUCACCUCCACCGCCUCCACCUCCUUUUCCGUCACAGCUGCCCCCACUUCCUCCACCACCUGCAGGGCCACCUCCACCUACAGGCCCUCCUCCACCUGCAGGGCCUCCUCCACCUACAGUCCAUCCACCACCUAUGGGGCCUCCACCAUCUACGGGUCCUCCACCACCUAUGGGGCCUCCACCAUCUACGGGUCCUCCACCACCUAUGGGGCCUCCACCUCCAAUGGGCCCUCCACCUAGGGGUCCUCCACCGCUUAUGGGUCCUCCACCACCGACGGGGCCUCCACCACCCACAGGCCCUCCACCACCAAGGGGUCCACCACCUAUUGGGCCUCCACCACCUGCAGGGCCCCCACUACCUCCAGGCCCUCCACCCCCUCCUGGUCCCCCACCCCCUGCAAGCCAGCACCUACCUACAGGUCCUCCACCAUCACUGCUUUCUCAACCACCACUACCUCCUACACCGCAACUGCCACCUCCACCACAGUUACCACCUCCACCGCAACUACAACCUCAACCGCAACUACCACCUCAACCUCCAUUACUGCCAC